rnacentral:rRNA from 1 species
UACGGAGGGUGCAAGCGUUAUCCGGAUUCACUGGGUUUAAAGGGUGCGUAGGUGGGUUGGUAAGUCAGUGGUGAAAUCUCCGAGCUUAACUUGGAAACUGCCAUUGAUACUAUCAGUCUUGAAUAUUGUGGAGGUCAGCGGAAUAUGUCAUGUAGCGGUGAAAUGCUUAGAUAUGACAUAGAACACCAAUGGCGAAGGCAGCUGGCUAGACAUAUAUUGACACUGAGGCACGAAAGCGUGGGGAUCAAACAGG